AAAUGUUCAAUAGGGGCAAUCUGAGAUCACAUGUUUGGUUUGAUUCCUCGAAUCUCGCGCAUAGUGAAAGCGUGUAUCUCAACAUGUGUUCUCAGGUCGCCCCUGUCGAAUUAUU
rfam:Capsicum annuum cultivar Zunla-1 chromosome 12, whole genome shotgun sequence